GCUGGGCACAGUGUUGCAUGCCUGUAAUCCCAGUGGCUCAAGAGGCUGAGACAGGAGGAUCACAAAUUCAAAGCCAGCCUCAGCAAUAGCAGUGUGCUAAGCAACUCAGUGAGACCCUGUCUCUA
rnacentral:sRNA from 1 species